rnacentral:misc_RNA from 1 species
CUGAGUUGCAAAACUCCCAAACCCAUGUGAACAUACCUGUUGCCUCGGCGGCCUACCCGGUAGCUACCCUGUAGUUACCCUGUAGUCCGCCGAAGGACCACAAAACUCUGUUUUUUUGUCUCUCUGAGUAAAAAUCAUAAUAAGUUA